CAAAUUUGAAGAAGGGCUCGAAGCCAAUGCGAGUAAUCGAACGUAAAAGGAAUAAAAGCUGCAACGCCUCCCCCAAGCUUGCCGACUUUAUGACUCGCAUUAAUUGGAAAUUUACUAGCGCCUGUUCUUCCACUACGAGUACACAAGGCGAUGUCUAGUAGGCUCAAAUGUAGGAUACCUUGGAGAUUGGACUGUGGCACUUAGCACCAAAAUGUUCCAUGGGCCGCCGGAAGGUGGCGAGAGCAACAUUUGAUUAAGACAAUCAAUUGGGUUGUGCUUGCCGCUGUGCGGUGUGUCACAUUUGGCACCAAAUGAAGAAUAAGGUGUUUGAGAUAAAAUAAAAAUGUCCUGUCAGAAGACUUAACUGGAAGAAUCAUUAAACAGAUUAUGAAAAAGAUGGUUGGUCCGAAUAUUUCUUAUAAACUUCAUACUUCUGUAUCA